UUAAGCGACUAAGCGUACACGGUGGAUGCCCUGGCAGUCAGAGGCGAUGAAGGACGUGCUAAUCUGCGAUAAGCGUCGGUGAGGUGAUAUGAACCGUUAUAACCGGCGAUUUCCGAAUGGGGAAACCCAGUGUGUUUCGACACACUAUCAUUAACUGAAUCCAUAGGUUAAUGAGGCGAACCGGGGGAACUGAAACAUCUAAGUACCCCGAGGAAAAGAAAUCAACCGAGAUUCCCCCAGUAGCGGCGAGCGAACGGGGAGGAGCCCAGAGCCUGAAUCAGUGUGUGUGUUAGUGGAAGCGUCUGGAAAGGCGUGCGAUACAGGGUGACAGCCCCGUACACAAAAAUGCACAUAUUGUGAGCUCGAUGAGUAGGGCGGGACACGUGGUAUCCUGUCUGAAUAUGGGGGGACCAUCCUCCAAGGCUAAAUACUCCUGACUGACCGAUAGUGAACCAGUACCGUGAGGGAAAGGCGAAAAGAACCCCGGCGAGGGGAGUGAAAAAGAACCUGAAACCGUGUACGUACAAGCAGUGGGAGCCUCUUAAUGGGGUGACUGCGUACCUUUUGUAUAAUGGGUCAGCGACUUAUAUUCUGUAGCAAGGUUAACCGAAUAGGGGAGCCGAAGGGAAACCGAGUCUUAACUGGGCGUUAAGAUGCAGGGUAUAGACCCGAAACCCGGUGAUCUAGCCAUGGGCAGGUUGAAGGUUGGGUAACACUAACUGGAGGACCGAACCGACUAAUGUUGAAAAAUUAGCGGAUGACUUGUGGCUGGGGGUGAAAGGCCAAUCAAACCGGGAGAUAGCUGGUUCUCCCCGAAAGCUAUUUAGGUAGCGCCUCGUGAAUUCAUCUCCGGGGGUAGAGCACUGUUUCGGCAAGGGGGUCAUCCCGACUUACCAACCCGAUGCAAACUGCGAAUACCGGAGAAUGUUAUCACGGGAGACACACGGCGGGUGCUAACGUCCGUCGUGAAGAGGGAAACAACCCAGACCGCCAGCUAAGGUCCCAAAGUCAUGGUUAAGUGGGAAACGAUGUGGGAAGGCCCAGACAGCCAGGAUGUUGGCUUAGAAGCAGCCAUCAUUUAAAGAAAGCGUAAUAGCUCACUGGUCGAGUCGGCCUGCGCGGAAGAUGUAACGGGGCUAAACCAUGCACCGAAGCUGCGGCAGCGACACUAUGUGUUGUUGGGUAGGGGAGCGUUCUGUAAGCCUGUGAAGGUGGCCUGUGAGGGUUGCUGGAGGUAUCAGAAGUGCGAAUGCUGACAUAAGUAACGAUAAAGCGGGUGAAAAGCCCGCUCGCCGGAAGACCAAGGGUUCCUGUCCAACGUUAAUCGGGGCAGGGUGAGUCGACCCCUAAGGCGAGGCCGAAAGGCGUAGUCGAUGGGAAACAGGUUAAUAUUCCUGUACUUGGUGUUACUGCGAAGGGGGGACGGAGAAGGCUAUGUUGGCCGGGCGACGGUUGUCCCGGUUUAAGCGUGUAGGCUGGUUUUCCAGGCAAAUCCGGAAAACCAAGGCUGAGGCGUGAUGACGAGGCACUACGGUGCUGAAGCGACAAAUGCCCUGCUUCCAGGAAAAGCCUCUAAGCAUCAGGUAACAUCAAAUCGUACCCCAAACCGACACAGGUGGUCGGGUAGAGAAUACCAAGGCGCUUGAGAGAACUCGGGUGAAGGAACUAGGCAAAAUGGUGCCGUAACUUCGGGAGAAGGCACGCUGAUAUGUAGGUGAAGCGACUUGCUCGUGGAGCUGAAAUCAGUCGAAGAUACCAGCUGGCUGCAACUGUUUAUUAAAAACACAGCACUGUGCAAACACGAAAGUGGACGUAUACGGUGUGACGCCUGCCCGGUGCCGGAAGGUUAAUUGAUGGGGUUAGCGGUAACGCGAAGCUCUUGAUCGAAGCCCCGGUAAACGGCGGCCGUAACUAUAACGGUCCUAAGGUAGCGAAAUUCCUUGUCGGGUAAGUUCCGACCUGCACGAAUGGCGUAAUGAUGGCCAGGCUGUCUCCACCCGAGACUCAGUGAAAUUGAACUCGCUGUGAAGAUGCAGUGUACCCGCGGCAAGACGGAAAGACCCCGUGAACCUUUACUAUAGCUUGACACUGAACAUUGAGCCUUGAUGUGUAGGAUAGGUGGGAGGCUUUGAAGUGUGGACGCCAGUCUGCAUGGAGCCGACCUUGAAAUACCACCCUUUAAUGUUUGAUGUUCUAACGUUGGCCCGUAAUCCGGGUUGCGGACAGUGUCUGGUGGGUAGUUUGACUGGGGCGGUCUCCUCCUAAAGAGUAACGGAGGAGCACGAAGGUUGGCUAAUCCUGGUCGGACAUCAGGAGGUUAGUGCAAUGGCAUAAGCCAGCUUGACUGCGAGCGUGACGGCGCGAGCAGGUGCGAAAGCAGGUCAUAGUGAUCCGGUGGUUCUGAAUGGAAGGGCCAUCGCUCAACGGAUAAAAGGUACUCCGGGGAUAACAGGCUGAUACCGCCCAAGAGUUCAUAUCGACGGCGGUGUUUGGCACCUCGAUGUCGGCUCAUCACAUCCUGGGGCUGAAGUAGGUCCCAAGGGUAUGGCUGUUCGCCAUUUAAAGUGGUACGCGAGCUGGGUUUAGAACGUCGUGAGACAGUUCGGUCCCUAUCUGCCGUGG
rnacentral:rRNA from 1 species